rnacentral:rRNA from 1 species
GAUGAACGCUGGCGGCGUGCCUAAUACAUGCAAGUCGAGCGAACGGACGAGAAUCUUGCUUCUCUGAUGUUAUCGGCGGACGUGUGUGUAACACGUGUAUAACCUACCUAUAAUUCUUGGAUAACUUCGGGAAACCGGAUCUAAUACCGGAUAAUAUUUUUAACCUCAUUGUUCAAUAUUUAAUUACGGUCUUUCUUUCUCUUUUAGAUUUAUCCUCGCUGCAUUAGCUAGUUGGUAAGGUAACGGCUUACCAAGGCAACGAUGCAUAGCCGACAUGAGAGGGGGAUCGGCAACACGGGAACUGAGAAACGGACAAGACGCCGACGGGAGGCAGCAGAAGGGAAUAUGACGCAAUGGGGGAAAGCAUGACGGAGCAAAGCCGAGUGAGUGAUGAAGGUCUUAGGAUCGUAAAAAUAUGUUAUUAGGGAAGAAAAUAUGUGUAAGUAACAGUGAACAUAGUGACGGUAACUAAUAAGAAAGCAACGGCUAACUACGUG